GAUGAACGCUGGCGGCGUGCCUAAUACAUGCGAGUCGAGCGAACAGACGAGGAGCUUGCUCCUCUGACGUUAGCGGCGGACGGGUGAGUAACACGUGGAUAACCUACCUAUAAGACUGGGAUAACUUCGGGAAACCGGAGCUAAUACCGGAUAACAUGUUGAACCGCAUGGUUCAACAGUGAAAGACGGUCUUGCUGUCACUUAUAGAUGGAUCCGCGCCGCAUUAGCUAGUUGGUAAGGUAACGGCUUACCAAGGCAACGAUGCGUAGCCGACCUGAGAGGGUGAUCGGCCACACUGGAACUGAGACACGGUCCAGACUCCUACUGGAGGCAGCAGUAGGGAAUCUUCCGCAAUGGGCGAGAGCCUGACGGAGCAACGCCGCGUGAGUGAAGAAGGUCUUCGGAUCGUAAAACUCUGUUAUUAGGGAAGAACAAAUGUGUAAGUAACUAUGCACGUCUUGACGGUACCUAAUCAGAAAGCCACGGCUAACUACGUG
rnacentral:rRNA from 1 species